CAGCAGUCGCCACGGUAAUACGAAGGGUGCAAGCGUUAAUCGGAAUUACUGGGCGUAAAGCGUGCGUAGGCGGUUUGUUAAGUCUGCUGUGAAAUCCCCGGGCUCAACCUGGGAAUGGCAGUGGAUACUGGCAAGCUAGAGUGUGUCAGAGGAUGGUGGAAUUCCCGGUGUAGCGGUGAAAUGCGUAGAGAUCGGGAGGAACAUCAGUGGCGAAGGCGGCCAUCUGGGGCAACACUGACGCUGAGGCACGAAAGCGUGGGGAGCAAACAGGAUUAGAUACCCCCGUAGUCCCUGUCUCUUAUAC
rnacentral:rRNA from 1 species